AAUGAAGCCAGCGAACAUCACGAAUGGUGUCCCUGUACUCCAUUCAGCAAAAGAGUGCUGCAAACCCAAGAAAUUCACCCCAGAUGAGGUACUGGUACCAAAUCCCAGCUUCAAAGAAAAUCAAGGAACGAAAAGAAAGAUACAACCUGGAAGUCUAUCGAUAUAUGAAUUGGAACGGUUGGAAAAUAUCAGACAAAACCAAGUGUUCCUGUCCUCCAUAAAACUGCUUGAGGCCAAGCAGGAUUUGAAACCAGAAAAAACACAGAGAGGUCUCAAGAGACAGAAACUAAAUAAGGUAGCCUGGACAGAGAUACUGCCUCCUCGCACCAAGUCCUUG